GUUAUGUGGAGGGUUUUUUGCCCUUUUUGGAGGCUUAAGGUCUUCUGCCAGCGUUCAGUAGAUGUUCUCUGUGAAUUGUUCUACAUGUAGAUGAGUUUUUUUUUUUUUUUUGAUGUGUUUGUGGGAGAAGGUGAGUGCCACAUCUUACUCCUUUGCCAUCUUGAUCCUCACUCUGAGAAGGAGUCUUUUAAAAAAAGAAAGCAUUUUCUUUCAGAGGAUAGAAGUAUCUGAUCCAAUUUAGUUGCUAUAGAAAUGGUAACAUGCAAAUUUUAUUUUGUACUCACCUACUAUUGAUCAGAAAAACUAGACAGAGGUUUAGAAGUGUCUUCUUCGCAAAAAGGGAAACAGAAAAACAGGAGUAGUAUAGUAUUGGAGAGAGCCCCUUCUAUUUGGGGAAAAGUUAUACCUUUCCUAAGCAAGAAGCAAUGUGACUAAUCUUUUUCUCUUGCCAUUACAAUUAUUAUGGCAGUUUCUCCAUUAAGGUAGGAAAUAGAGCCUGAGUAGAUUAGCCGUGCACAGCAUCUUGCCAUCUCACCAAGUGAAAAAACUGAGUAAGAAAACCUGUUCUAAACACAGUCUCUGUAGGAUUUAAAAUCCACUUCAGAACAGAGGCAGUAGAGGUUUUUCUAACUGAGGGAGUCAGGAAGAGAGAGCUGUUCUCAAACCGAGGUAUUGUUUUAGAGGAGGUACAAAGAGAGGGUAGGGAGGGAGUCAACAAUAUGAUUGAUGUGAAGGGCUAGUUCUAUCAGGUGCCUAAAUUUCCUAAGUGCUUUUCUUUAAGUUUUCCUUUUCUUGAAUUUUCUGUUUACUUAUAUUAGACUAAUAUCUGUUUUGACUAAUUUAACGGCUUUUGUUGAGUUCUGUUUGAUUAAAGUUACUUAAAUAUAAAAUUAUUAAAAGUAGACAAGUAGGAGUUCCCAUUGUGGCUCAGUGGAAACGACUCUGACUAGUAUCCAUGAGGACAUGGGUUCAAUCCCUGGCCUUGCUCAGUGGGUUGGGGAUCUGGCCUUGCUGUGUAUGUCACAGACGCUGCUCAGAUCCUGAUUUGCUGUGGCUGUGGUGUAGGCCAGCAGCUGCAGCUCCAACUGGAUCCUUAGCCUGGGAACUUUCAUAUGCUGCAGGUGCAGCCCUUUAAAAAAAAAAGAGAGAGAGAGAAAGAAAAGAAAAAGACAAGUAAGCACAACCCUUUCUCUGUUAAGCUUUUGAAAAACCUGGUGGCAUCUAGAAAACUACAAAGGAAGUUCUUACCUUUGAGAAGAUUAGACUCCUGAGUAACCUAUUCAUGAGUAAAAAGGGAAACAAAAAUUAAAACAUAGUAAUGUUCUCAUUCGUCAGGUGGUCUGCUUUCUGCAAAACUCAGAUACCAGAACAUAUUUAUACUUCUUUUGUUUAGGGAUUAAGACCCUAGCACAGUAUGCGGUAUUGUAAUUUUUCAUAAAUACUGCCUAAGGAUUUUGUUGUAUUAAUGAGAAAGGCUAUGGGUAGCCACAGCACUGUGAGGAAAACCAGUGUGUGUUUGACAAUAGAGGAGUGUGAGACUGACCUUCAACCCGUCCCCCCGUCCCCUGGCAGUUGAGCCCACAGUAAAGCCCCUUAUCAGAGGCUGCCAUGCUAUCAGCUCUGGACAGUGGCAAUGUCUAUGAAGGAAGAACUACAAAAAGCAAAUGGAAGGAAUGCAGUAGUCCUUAGAAUAAGCCCGACUCUAUUUACAUUCCCGCAAGUGACUGAGGGGUUGUAUUUGUGAGACAUUUAAGAUUUUGUUUGCGUUUCCUGUGAUUAGGUCUCUCUGUUGAGAACAGUAAAAUCUCCUAGACAAUCUCAGAAGGCACCAGAGGCUAGAAGGAGACCAGAAGUGAGCCAGUGCAAAGGGGAGUGUUAGUUGGAAGCCACAGGUGGUGCCUUACAACAGAGUUGAUGGUGAGAUAACCCAGAGCACAGGGUGGGAGUAGAGGAGGUGAUCACAGCAGAAAUCCACGUCAUCAGGCUCCUGCCGAGCACUGACCUUCUGUGUCUGGAAGGGAGCAUCCCAGCAGGAAAAGGCAGGUUCAGCUAAAACCGUUCUUGUUAAACUAAAUGGACCCCCACCAAAAUCGGUCCCACUCUCAAAUUCUCACUCAGCAAAUCCAUGGUAGCGAGGCCCAUGUUUAACACGUACUUCUGGUGAUUCUGUGGUAUGUGGGCCCCCCAUUUGAGAAGCACAGUUUUAUGAAUAUUUUCUGAUUAAUUGAUCCACUGUCGGAAAAAAAAUAGAUUUUUUUUUUGAAAUGAAGAUAAUUGGGUAUGAAUUGGAAACCAACUGUAUUUCUUAUUUCCUCAGGGUAAGGAGAAUUGAAAUUGUAUUUUAACCAGUUUGCAACUUAAUUGCUCAGUUAAAAAAAAAGGGGGAGAGAGAGAUUUACCAAUUAAAGAUAAAAAUAUAAUCACUAAUUUUUAAUUUUAGUCAAUCCCAAUUAUCCAUUCUGGAUAGAAGUUAGGAAAAAAGUUAAGACACAGAAAAAGAAUAACCCCCACAUUAGUUAUCUUACGCUUGAAAUAUAUUCAAGCAGACAUAAUAAAUACACACAUAUUCACGCAUUCUUAUGAUUCUCCAUACCUGGUUUAUAUUUGAAAUGAGUAUUAUUUCUAUUCAGAUCAUAGAAAAAAGGAGAGUUUGAUGACUUGAUAUUGGUGAAGGUUUAUGGAGUGACCUUUAGCAGGGGAGGUUAAGUGUUGGGGGGAGUGGUGGGAGAGAGAGAGAAAAGAACAAGUCAUUGAUAAAGGAUUAAGCUGAGAAAUGGGUAUAGAUGGUGCAGGAGCCGGAUGACCAUUUAAAAUUAGAUGCUGGGAGUUCCCAUUGUGGCUCAGUGGUGUAGGUUGCAGAAGCGGCUUGGAUCCCGAGUUGCUGUGACUGUGGUGUAGGACAGCAGCUUAGCUCUGAUUCAGCCUCUAGCCUGGGAACUUCUAUAUGCCGUAGUUGUGGCCCUACAAAGCAAAAAA
ensembl:lncRNA